AUGCCGGCAAUCCCUCCAAUUCUUUCUCCCUCCCUCCCUGCCUCUCUAUCUCUCUGUCUCUUCCUGCUGCUGCCGAUUCAGACAGCCAUCUUACAGGCUCAGAGCUGCAACAAGACAAAUUCAAAGCAUCUCACUGCAGUUCAGAAAUCACUUGACCUAAAAGCAGACAGAAACCGGAUUGGCUGCAGCUUCCUCUCUCCAAAUAUGAGAUGUCUCACUAUGUUGCCCAAGCUGGCCUUAAACUCCUGCUUCAGGCUUCUGAGUAGCUGGGACUAUGGGCACAUGCUGCCAUACCUGGAGUGCUGUUGAUUCUGUACCACAAAUAUCCAGACCACACAACAGAGGUGCAACCUGCUUGGCUCAGCAUAAGCCCUCAAGACUUGUGGCAACACAGUUCUACCCAUCUUUCCUGGGGACCUUCAACAUGGCCUCCACAGAAGGAAAGCAGUGAGAAGCCCUAAAGUGUAUAGCCCCUCUGAAGGCCCCCACCUGCCUCCUAAGUACAGCGGGGAAUUUUCCCUAACUUUUCCUUUAAGGCUGACUGCAAGGCUGCAGUGCCAUCUUAUGGCUGUCAGCGCAGCAUGAAACAAGAGAAGAGGGCAUGGGAAAUUCAGACAGCAAAUAAUUUAACUGGCAAAAAUCUGACAUUAUAGCAUGAAGUUCUCUAGGAAGCUUCACUCCACCAAUGAAGAAAAUGGGAACUUUUAAAUUGCAUGUCCCAAG
rnacentral:lncRNA from 1 species